rnacentral:rRNA from 1 species
AGAGUUUGAUCAUGGCUCAGAUUGAACGCUGGCGGCAUGCCUUACACAUGCAAGUCGAACGGCAGCACGGGAGCAAUCCUGGUGGCGAGUGGCGAACGGGUGAGUAAUACAUCGGAACGUGCCCAGUUGUGGGGGAUAGCCCGGCGAAAGCCGGAUUAAUACCGCAUACGACCUGAGGGUGAAAGCGGGGGACCUGCAAGGGCCUCGCGCAGUUGGAGCGGCCGAUGGCAGAUUAGCUAGUUGGUGGGGUAAAGGCUCACCAAGGCGACGAUCUGUAGCUGGUCUGAGAGGACGACCAGCCACACUGGGACUGAGACACGGCCCAGACUCCUACGGGAGGCAGCAGUGGGGAAUUUUGGACAAUGGGCGCAAGCCUGAUCCAGCCAUGCCGCGUGCGGGAAGAAGGCCUUCGGGUUGUAAACCGCUUUUGUCAGGGAAGAAACGCUCCGGGUUAAUACCUUGGAGUAAUGACGGUACCUGGAGAAUAAGCACCGGCUAACUACGUGCCAGCAGCCGCGGUAAUACGUAGGGUGCGAGCGUUAAUCGGAAUUACUGGGCGUAAAGCGUGCGCAGGCGGCCAUGCAAGACAGAUGUGAAAUCCCCGGGCUCAACCUGGGAACUGCAUUUGUGACUGCAUGGCUGGAGUGCGGCAGAGGGGGAUGGAAUUCCGCGUGUAGCAGUGAAAUGCGUAGAUAUGCGGAGGAACACCGAUGGCGAAGGC